UACGUAGGUGGCGAGCGUUGUCCGGAUUUACUGGGCGUAAAGAGCGCGCAGGCGGCUGGGCAAGUCCGAUGUGAAAGCUUCCGGCUUAACUGGAAAAUUGCAUCGGAAACUGCUCGGCUUGAAGGUGGGAGAGGGUAGCGGAAUUCCCGGUGUAGUGGUGAAAUGCGUAGAUAUCAGGAGGAACACCUAUAGCGAAGGCAGCUUGCUGGGACGUUACUGACGCUAAGGCGCGAAAGCGUGGGGAGCGAACAGG
rnacentral:rRNA from 1 species